rnacentral:rRNA from 1 species
AGUGGCGAACGGGUGAGUAACACGUGGGUAAUCUGCCCUGCACAUCGGGAUAAGCCUGGGAAACUGGGUCUAAUACCGAAUAGGACCACAGGACACAUGUCCUGUGGUGGAAAGCUUUUGCGGUGUGGGAUGGGCCCGCGGCCUAUCAGCUUGUUGGUGGGGUGAUGGCCUACCAAGGCGACGACGGGUAGCCGGCCUGAGAGGGUGUCCGGCCACACUGGGACUGAGAUACGGCCCAGACUCCUACGGGAGGCAGCAGUGGGGAAUAUUGCACAAUGGGCGAAAGCCUGAUGCAGCGACGCCGCGUGGGGGAUGACGGCCUUCGGGUUGUAAACCUCUUUCACCAUCGACGAAGGUCCGGGUUUUCUCGGGCUGACGGUAGGUGGAGAAGAAGCACCGGCCAACUACGUGCCAGCAGCCGCGGUAAUACGUAGGGUGCGAGCGUUGUCCGGAAUUACUGGGCGUAAAGAGCUCGUAGGUGGUUUGUCGCGUUGUUCGUGAAAUCUCACGGCUUAACUGUGAGCGUGCGGGCGAUACGGGCAGACUUGAGUACUGCAGGGGAGACUGGAAUUCCUGGUGUAGCGGUGGAAUGCGCAGAUAUCAGGAGGAACACCGGUGGCGAAGGCGGGUCUCUGGGCAGUAACUGACGCUGAGGAGCGAAAGCGUGGGGAGCGAACAGGAUUAGAUACCCUGGUAGUCCACGCCGUAAACGGUGGGUACUAGGUGUGGGUUUCCUUCCUU